GGAUGUUGGCUUAGAAGCAGCCAUCAUUUAAAGAAAGCGUAAUAGCUCACUGGUCGAGUCGGCCUGCGCGGAAGAUGUAACGGGGCUAAACCAUGCACCGAAGCUGCGGCAGCGACGUUUAUGCGUUGUUGGGUAGGGGAGCGUUCUGUAAGCCUGCGAAGGUGGCCUGUGAGGGUUGCUGGAGGUAUCAGAAGUGCGAAUGCUGACAUAAGUAACGAUAAAGCGGGUGAAAAGCCCGCUCGCCGGAAGACCAAGGGUUCCUGUCCAACGUUAAUCGGGGCAGGGUGAGUCGACCCCUAAGGCGAGGCCGAAAGGCGUAGUCGAUGGGAAACGGGUUAAUAUUCCCGUACUUGGUGUUACUGCGAAGGGGGGACGGAGAAGGCUAUGUUGGCCGGGCGACGGUUGUCCCGGUUUAAGCGUGUAGGCUGGUUUUCCAGGCAAAUCCGGAAAAUCAAGGCUGAGGCGUGACGACGAGGCACUACGGUGCUGAAGCAACAAAUGCCCUGCUUCCAGGAAAAGCCUCUAAGCAUCAGGUAACAUCAAAUCGUACCCCAAACCGACACAGGUGGUCAGGUAGAGAAUACCAAGGCGCUUGAGAGAACUCGGGUGAAGGAACUAGGCAAAAUGGUGCCGUAACUUCGGGAGAAGGCACGCUGACAC
rnacentral:rRNA from 1 species